UACGGAGGGUGCAAGCGUUGUCCGGAAUCACUGGGCGUAAAGGGCGCGUAGGCGGCGCGGGCAGUCAACGGUGAAAGCUUGGGGCUCAACCCCGAGUCGGCCGUCGAUACUCCCGUGCUGGAGCACUGUGGAGGCAGGUGGAAUUCCGGGUGUAGCGGUGGAAUGCGUAGAGAUCCGGAAGAACACCGGUGGCGAAGGCGGCCUGCUGGGCAGUAGCUGACGCUGAGGCGCGACAGCGUGGGGAGCAAACAGG
rnacentral:rRNA from 1 species